ACGCCCUUCUCCGUUUUCUGCAUUCUGAAUACGGAGCUUCGUGCGGCAUUGUGUUGUUACCGUAUUAAUAACGUUAUAGUGCGCUGUACUACUUCUGUCUGAAUAGUGUGAACACACUAAAGAGUUUGCCGUCACCUACAUGUUGAACUGUGAACUGGUCCCAGUUUACACUGGACUCACGUUUACAAUCACGGGAAAUGAUGAUAGUCUUGUUGUUGCUGGGUGCCCUUGGUUGUAUGGAAAACUAAAUUUCCACGUUGAAAUCACGUCUCGUGCUCACUGGUUUACUCGACUGCUUCUCUGCUCACUGCCUCA
ensembl:lncRNA